rnacentral:rRNA from 1 species
GGGUUGUGAGGUUAAGCGACUAAGCGUACACGGUGGAUGCCCUGGCAGUCAGAGGCGAUGAAGGGCGUGCUAAUCUGCGAUAAGCGCCGGUAAGGUGAUAUGAACCGUUAUAACCGGCGAUACCCGAAUGGGGAAACCCAGUGUGACUCGUCACACUAUCAUUAACUGAAUCCAUAGGUUAAUGAGGCGAACCGGGGGAACUGAAACAUCUAAGUACCCCGAGGAAAAGAAAUCAACCGAGAUUCCCCCAGUAGCGGCGAGCGAACGGGGAGGAGCCCAGAGCCUGAAUCAGCAUGUGUGUUAGUGGAAGCGUCUGGAAAGGCGCGCGAUACAGGGUGACAGCCCCGUACACAAAAGCGCAUGUGCUGUGAGCUCGAUGAGUAGGGCGGGACACGUGGUAUCCUGUCUGAAUAUGGGGGGACCAUCCUCCAAGGCUAAAUACUCCUGACUGACCGAUAGUGAACCAGUACCGUGAGGGAAAGGCGAAAAGAACCCCGGCGAGGGGAGUGAAAAAGAACCUGAAACCGUGUACGUACAAGCAGUGGGAGCACCCUUUGGGGUGUGACUGCGUACCUUUUGUAUAAUGGGUCAGCGACUUAUAUUCUGUAGCAAGGUUAACCGAAUAGGGGAGCCGGAGGGAAACCGAGUCUUAAUUGGGCGUUAAGUUGCAGGGUAUAGACCCGAAACCCGGUGAUCUAGCCAUGGGCAGGUUGAAGGUUGGGUAACACUAACUGGAGGACCGAACCGACUAAUGUUGAAAAAUUAGCGGAUGACCUGUGGCUGGGGGUGAAAGGCCAAUCAAACCGGGAGAUAGCUGGUUCUCCCCGAAAGCUAUUUAGGUAGCGCCUCGUGAAUUCAUCUCCGGGGGUAGAGCACUGUUUCGGCUAGGGGGCCAUCCCGGCUUACCAACCCGAUGCAAACUGCGAAUACCGGAGAAUGUUAUCACGGGAGACACACGGCGGGUGCUAACGUCCGUCGUGAAGAGGGAAACAACCCAGACCGCCAGCUAAGGUCCCAAAGUCAUGGUUAAGUGGGAAACGAUGUGGGAAGGCCCAGACAGCCAGGAUGUUGGCUUAGAAGCAGCCAUCAUUUAAAGAAAGCGUAAUAGCUCACUGGUCGAGUCGGCCUGCGCGGAAGAUGUAACGGGGCUAAACCAUGCACCGAAGCUGCGGCAGCGACACUCAGGUGUUGUUGGGUAGGGGAGCGUUCUGUAAGCCUGCGAAGGUGGCCUGUGAGGGUUGCUGGAGGUAUCAGAAGUGCGAAUGCUGACAUAAGUAACGAUAAAGCGGGUGAAAAGCCCGCUCGCCGGAAGACCAAGGGUUCCUGUCCAACGUUAAUCGGGGCAGGGUGAGUCGACCCCUAAGGCGAGGCCGAAAGGCGUAGUCGAUGGGAAACGGGUUAAUAUUCCCGUACUUGGUGUUACUGCGAAGGGGGGACGGAGAAGGCUAUGUUGGCCGGGCGACGGUUGUCCCGGUUUAAGCGUGUAGGCUGGUUUUCCAGGCAAAUCCGGAAAAUCAAGGCUGAGGCGUGACGACGAGGCACUACGGUGCUGAAGCAACAAAUGCCCUGCUUCCAGGAAAAGCCUCUAAGCAUCAGGUAACACGAAAUCGUACCCCAAACCGACACAGGUGGUCAGGUAGAGAAUACCAAGGCGCUUGAGAGAACUCGGGUGAAGGAACUAGGCAAAAUGGUGCCGUAACUUCGGGAGAAGGCACGCUGACAUGUAGGUGAAGUGAUUUACUCAUGGAGCUGAAGUCAGUCGAAGAUACCAGCUGGCUGCAACUGUUUAUUAAAAACACAGCACUGUGCAAACACGAAAGUGGACGUAUACGGUGUGACGCCUGCCCGGUGCCGGAAGGUUAAUUGAUGGGGUCAGCGCAAGCGAAGCUCCUGAUCGAAGCCCCGGUAAACGGCGGCCGUAACUAUAACGGUCCUAAGGUAGCGAAAUUCCUUGUCGGGUAAGUUCCGACCUGCACGAAUGGCGUAAUGAUGGCCAGGCUGUCUCCACCCGAGACUCAGUGAAAUUGAACUCGCUGUGAAGAUGCAGUGUACCCGCGGCAAGACGGAAAGACCCCGUGAACCUUUACUAUAGCUUGACACUGAACAUUGAGCCUUGAUGUGUAGGAUAGGUGGGAGGCUUUGAAGUGUGGACGCCAGUCUGCAUGGAGCCGACCUUGAAAUACCACCCUUUAAUGUUUGAUGUUCUAACGUGGACCCGUGAUCCGGGUUGCGGACAGUGUCUGGUGGGUAGUUUGACUGGGGCGGUCUCCUCCUAAAGAGUAACGGAGGAGCACGAAGGUUGGCUAAUCCUGGUCGGACAUCAGGAGGUUAGUGCAAUGGCAUAAGCCAGCUUGACUGCGAGCGUGACGGCGCGAGCAGGUGCGAAAGCAGGUCAUAGUGAUCCGGUGGUUCUGAAUGGAAGGGCCAUCGCUCAACGGAUAAAAGGUACUCCGGGGAUAACAGGCUGAUACCGCCCAAGAGUUCAUAUCGACGGCGGUGUUUGGCACCUCGAUGUCGGCUCAUCACAUCCUGGGGCUGAAGUAGGUCCCAAGGGUAUGGCUGUUCGCCAUUUAAAGUGGUACGCGAGCUGGGUUUAGAACGUCGUGAGACAGUUCGGUCCCUAUCUGCCGUGGGCGCUGGAGAACUGAGGGGGGCUGCUCCUAGUACGAGAGGACCGGAGUGGACGCAUCACUGGUGUUCGGGUUGUCAUGCCAAUGGCACUGCCCGGUAGCUAAAUGCGGAAGAGAUAAGUGCUGAAAGCAUCUAAGCACGAAACUUGCCCCGAGAUGAGUUCUCCCUGAGACUUUAGGUCUCCUGAAGGAACGUUGAAGACGACGACGUUGAUAGGCCGGGUGUGUAAGCGCAGCGAUGCGUUGAGCUAACCGGUACUAAUGAACCGUGAGGCUUAACCUUACAACGCCGAAG